CUUCAAGACAAACGCCAAUGGAGCUUAUGGCUGUGCGGUAGACGGACUGGCAAAUGAGCCACCUCAUGGCUCGUACUCUUAAUGUGAAGUUAUAACCUAUAUCCUUGAAGUUUAAGGGCUGGCCAGACAGCAAACGGGGCGGGUCGGUAACGCGACGCUAAUGUGACAGUGACGCGGCGUGGAUGUCACACUGCGAAGGAUGUUCAAAUCGAACAGCUGUGUAUAUCCAGAGUUUAGAG